rnacentral:rRNA from 1 species
UACGUAGGGUCCGAGCGUUGUCCGGAAUUAUUGGGCGUAAAGGGCUCGUAGGCGGUCCGUCAAGUCGGCUGUGAAAUCUCAGGGCUCAACCCUGAGCUUGCAGUCGAUACUGGCGGACUUGAGGCAGGUAGGGGAGAGUGGAAUUCCCGGUGUAGCGGUGAAAUGCGCAGAUAUCGGGAGGAACACCAGUAGCGAAGGCGGCUCUCUGGGCCUGUCCUGACGCUGAGGAGCGAAAGCGUGGGUAGCAAACAGG